rnacentral:lncRNA from 1 species
CCCAAGCUUUUCUUAAAAAUUUUACUAUAAUUUCUCUGAUUAUAGUGUGUUUGUUUUUUCGGACUCAAAUAAAUUCAGUUGAUUUUUCGGGAUCACUAAUCAAAACUUUACACUGAUAGUUUUCUGAUCUCACUAUCAAUCCAGUUGAUUUUUUGGACUCACCAAUUAAAAUCUAUAAUAUCCAAUUUUGAGCUUGAAUGGGCCUUAACCCC